UACGUAGGGCGCAAGCGUUGUCCGGAAUUAUUGGGCGUAAAGAGCUCGUAGGCGGCCAGUUGCGUCUGCUGUGAAAUCCCGGGGCUCAACCCCGGGCGUGCAGUGGAUACGGGCUGGCUAGAGGCAGGCAGGGGAGAACGGAAUUCCCGGUGUAGCAGUGAAAUGCGUAGAUAUCAAGUGGAACACCAGUGGCGAAGGCGAGUCUCUGGACAUUUCCUGACGCUGAGGCACGAAAGCCAGGGGAGCAAACGGG
rnacentral:rRNA from 1 species